GAUGAACGCUGGCGGCGUGCCUAAUACAUGCAAGUCGAGCGAACAGAUAAGGAGCUUGCUCCUUUGACGUUAGCGGCGGACGGGUGAGUAACACGUGGGUAACCUACCUAUAAGACUGGGAUAACUUCGGGAAACCGGAGCUAAUACCGGAUAACAUUUGGAACCGCAUGGUUCUAAAGUGAAAGAUGGUUUUGCUAUCACUUAUAGAUGGACCCGCGCCGUAUUAGCUAGUUGGUAAGGUAACGGCUUACCAAGGCGACGAUACGUAGCCGACCUGAGAGGGUGAUCGGCCACACUGGAACUGAGACACGGUCCAGACUCCUACGGGAGGCAGCAGUAGGGAGUCUUCCGCAAUGGGCGAAAGCCUGACGGAGCAACGCCGCGUGAGUGAUGAAGGGUUUCGGCUCGUAAAACUCUGUUAUUAGGGAAGAACAAACGUGUAAGUAACUGUGCACGUCUUGACGGUACCUAAUCAGAAAGCCACGGCUAACUACGUG
rnacentral:rRNA from 1 species